GACGAACGCUGGCGGCGUGCUUAACACAUGCAAGUCGAACGGAAAGGCCCUGCUUGCCGGGUACUCGAGUGGCGAACGGGUGAGUAACACGUGGGUGAUCUGCCCUGCACUUCGGGAUAAGCCUGGGAAACUGGGUCUAAUACCGGAUAGGAGCCAUUUUUAGUGUGAUGGUUGGAAAGUUUUUUCGGUGUAGGAUGAGCUCGCGGCCUAUCAGCUUGUUGGCGGGGUAAUGGCCUACCAAGGCGGCGACGGGUAGCCGGCCUGAGAGGGUGGACGGCCACAUUGGGACUGAGAUACGGCCCAGACUCCUACGGGAGGCAGCAGUGGGGAAUAUUGCACAAUGGGCGCAAGCCUGAUGCAGCGACGCCGCGUGGGGGAUGACGGCCUUCGGGUUGUAAACUCCUUUCGCUAGGGACGAAGCUUUUUGUGACGGUACCUAGAUAAGAAGCACCGGCUAACUACGUG
rnacentral:rRNA from 1 species